AUUGAACGCUGGCGGCAGGCCUAACACAUGCAAGUCGCGCGAGCGGCGGACGGGUGAGUAAUGUCUGGGAAAAUGCCUGAUGGAGGGGGAGAACUACUGGAAACGGUAGCUAAUAACGCAUACCAUCAGAUGUGCCCAGAUGGGAGUAGCUAGUCGGUGGGGUAACGGCUCACCUAGGCGACGAUCCCUAGCUGGUCUGAGAGGAUGACCAGCCACUCUGGAGCACAGCCACGCUCCAGACUCCGACGUGAGGCAGCACUGGGUAAUAUUGCACAAUUGUCUCAAUCCUGAUGUCUCCAUGCCGCGAGUGUGAAGAAGGCCUUCGGGUGGUAAAGCACUUUCAUCUGGGCGGCGUUACCCGCAGAAGAAGCACCGGCUAACUCCGUGCCAGCAGCCGCGGUAAUAC
rnacentral:rRNA from 1 species